rnacentral:rRNA from 1 species
GACGAACGCUGGCGGCGUGCUUAACACAUGCAAGUCGAACGGAAAGGCCCUGCUUUUGUGGGGUGCUCGAGUGGCGAACGGGUGAGUAACACGUGAGUAACCUGCCCUUGACUUUGGGAUAACUUCAGGAAACUGGGGCUAAUACCGGAUAGGAGCUCCUGCUGCAUGGUGGGGGUUGGAAAGUUUCGGCGGUUGGGGAUGGACUCGCGGCUUAUCAGCUUGUUGGUGGGGUAGUGGCUUACCAAGGCUUUGACGGGUAGCCGGCCUGAGAGGGUGACCGGCCAAAUUGGGACUGAGCUACGGCCCAACCUCCUACGGGAGGCAGCAGUGGGGAAUAUUGACAAAUGGGGGGAAGCCUGAUGCAGCAACGCCGCGUGCGGGAUGACGGCCUUCGGGUUGUAAACCGCUUUCGCCUGUGACGAAGCGUGAGUGACGGUAAUGGGUAAAGAAGCACCGGCUAACUACGUG